ACGAAGUAAGACAAUUCCACACGAAAUAUGAUUUAGUUCCCAACAGAAAUAUUUAGGGCACAUCAAAAUCAGCCAUUCAAUUAGGUGGACAGGUUGGUGGUGGAUCUUGACCCAAUCGCCACAUACCAUGAUCACGCCAGUCCUGUUUGGGGAUAAAAUUUCCAAGAAGAUAUAGACCAAAGGCAGUAGAACUAGUCCCACAACCUCUAUAUAAGGAGGUGAAGAGCACAUGCAUAUAUCAAGGCAAUCUAGAGAUAAAUCUCUAUUAGAAUUAUUCUCCAUGGCAAACCGAAGCAAAGUAUCCAGGGCUGCCGUUGCAUUACUCAUUGGACUCCUCGUAGCAAUCCCAACAGGUACUCUCUCUCUCUCUCUCUC
rnacentral:lncRNA from 1 species